rnacentral:rRNA from 1 species
GGUUAAGCGACUAAGCGUACACGGUGGAUGCCCUGGCAGUCAGAGGCGAUGAAGGACGUGCUAAUCUGCGAUAAGCGUCGGUAAGGUGAUAUGAACCGUUAUAACCGGCGAUUUCCGAAUGGGGAAACCCAGUGUGUUUCGACACACUAUCAUUAACUGAAUCCAUAGGUUAAUGAGGCGAACCGGGGGAACUGAAACAUCUAAGUACCCCGAGGAAAAGAAAUCAACCGAGAUUCCCCCAGUAGCGGCGAGCGAACGGGGAGCAGCCCAGAGCCUGAANNNNNNNNNNNGUUAGUGGAAGCGUCUGGAAAGGCGCGCGAUACAGGGUGACAGCCCCGUACACAAAAAUGCACAUAUUGUGAGCUCGAUGAGUAGGGCGGGACACGUGGUAUCCUGUCUGAAUAUGGGGGGACCAUCCUCCAAGGCUAAAUACUCCUGACUGACCGAUAGUGAACCAGUACCGUGAGGGAAAGGCGAAAAGAACCCCGGCGAGGGGAGUGAAAAAGAACCUGAAACCGUGUACGUACAAGCAGUGGGAGCACGCUUAGGCGUGUGACUGCGUACCUUUUGUAUAAUGGGUCAGCGACUUAUAUUCUGUAGCAAGGUUAACCGAAUAGGGGAGCCGAAGGGAAACCGAGUCUUAACUGGGCGUUAAGUUGCAGGGUAUAGACCCGAAACCCGGUGAUCUAGCCAUGGGCAGGUUGAAGGUUGGGUAACACUAACUGGAGGACCGAACCGACUAAUGUUGAAAAAUUAGCGGAUGACUUGUGGCUGGGGGUGAAAGGCCAAUCAAACCGGGAGAUAGCUGGUUCUCCCCGAAAGCUAUUUAGGUAGCGCCUCGUGAAUUCAUCUCCGGGGGUAGAGCACUGUUUCGGCAAGGGGGUCAUCCCGACUUACCAACCCGAUGCAAACUGCGAAUACCGGAGAAUGUUAUCACGGGAGACACACGGCGGGUGCUAACGUCCGUCGUGAAGAGGGAAACAACCCAGACCGCCAGCUAAGGUCCCAAAGUCAUGGUUAAGUGGGAAACGAUGUGGGAAGGCCCAGACAGCCAGGAUGUUGGCUUAGAAGCAGCCAUCAUUUAAAGAAAGCGUAAUAGCUCACUGGUCGAGUCGGCCUGCGCGGAAGAUGUAACGGGGCUAAACCAUGCACCGAAGCUGCGGCAGCGACACUAUGUGUUGUUGGGUAGGGGAGCGUUCUGUAAGCCUGUGAAGGUGUGCUGUGAGGCAUGCUGGAGGUAUCAGAAGUGCGAAUGCUGACAUAAGUAACGAUAAAGCGGGUGAAAAGCCCGCUCGCCGGAAGACCAAGGGUUCCUGUCCAACGUUAAUCGGGGCAGGGUGAGUCGACCCCUAAGGCGAGGCCGAAAGGCGUAGUCGAUGGGAAACAGGUUAAUAUUCCUGUACUUGGUGUUACUGCGAAGGGGGGACGGAGAAGGCUAUGUUGGCCGGGCGACGGUUGUCCCGGUUUAAGCGUGUAGGCUGGUUUUCCAGGCAAAUCCGGAAAAUCAAGGCUGAGGCGUGAUGACGAGGCACUACGGUGCUGAAGCAACAAAUGCCCUGCUUCCAGGAAAAGCCUCUAAGCAUCAGGUAACAUCAAAUCGUACCCCAAACCGACACAGGUGGUCAGGUAGAGAAUACCAAGGCGCUUGAGAGAACUCGGGUGAAGGAACUAGGCAAAAUGGUGCCGUAACUUCGGGAGAAGGCACGCUGAUAUGUAGGUGAAGUCCCUCGCGGAUGGAGCUGAAAUCAGUCGAAGAUACCAGCUGGCUGCAACUGUUUAUUAAAAACACAGCACUGUGCAAACACGAAAGUGGACGUAUACGGUGUGACGCCUGCCCGGUGCCGGAAGGUUAAUUGAUGGGGUUAGCGGUAACGCGAAGCUCUUGAUCGAAGCCCCGGUAAACGGCGGCCGUAACUAUAACGGUCCUAAGGUAGCGAAAUUCCUUGUCGGGUAAGUUCCGACCUGCACGAAUGGCGUAAUGAUGGCCAGGCUGUCUCCACCCGAGACUCAGUGAAAUUGAACUCGCUGUGAAGAUGCAGUGUACCCGCGGCAAGACGGAAAGACCCCGUGAACCUUUACUAUAGCUUGACACUGAACAUUGAGCCUUGAUGUGUAGGAUAGGUGGGAGGCUUUGAAGUGUGGACGCCAGUCUGCAUGGAGCCGACCUUGAAAUACCACCCUUUAAUGUUUGAUGUUCUAACGUUGACCCGUAAUCCGGGUUGCGGACAGUGUCUGGUGGGUAGUUUGACUGGGGCGGUCUCCUCCUAAAGAGUAACGGAGGAGCACGAAGGUUGGCUAAUCCUGGUCGGACAUCAGGAGGUUAGUGCAAUGGCAUAAGCCAGCUUGACUGCGAGCGUGACGGCGCGAGCAGGUGCGAAAGCAGGUCAUAGUGAUCCGGUGGUUCUGAAUGGAAGGGCCAUCGCUCAACGGAUAAAAGGUACUCCGGGGAUAACAGGCUGAUACCGCCCAAGAGUUCAUAUCGACGGCGGUGUUUGGCACCUCGAUGUCGGCUCAUCACAUCCUGGGGCUGAAGUAGGUCCCAAGGGUAUGGCUGUUCGCCAUUUAAAGUGGUACGCGAGCUGGGUUUAGAACGUCGUGAGACAGUUCGGUCCCUAUCUGCCGUGGGCGCUGGAGAACUGAGGGGGGCUGCUCCUAGUACGAGAGGACCGGAGUGGACGCAUCACUGGUGUUCGGGUUGUCAUGCCAAUGGCACUGCCCGGUAGCUAAAUGCGGAAGAGAUAAGUGCUGAAAGCAUCUAAGCACGAAACUUGCCCCGAGAUGAGUUCUCCCUGACUCCUUGAGAGUCCUGAAGGAACGUUGAAGACGACGACGUUGAUAGGCCGGGUGUGUAAGCGCAGCGAUGCGUUGAGCUAACCGGUACUAAUGAACCGUGAGGCUUAACCUU